rnacentral:rRNA from 1 species
UACGAAGGGGGCUAGCGUUGUUCGGAAUCACUGGGCGUAAAGCGCACGUAGGCGGACUAUUAAGUCAGGGGUGAAAUCCCGGGGCUCAACCCCGGAACUGCCUUUGAUACUGGUAGUCUCGAGUCGGAAGAGGUGAGUGGAAUUCCGAGUGUAGAGGUGAAAUUCGUAGAUAUUCGGAGGAACACCAGUGGCGAAGGCGGCUCACUGGUCCGGUACUGACGCUGAGGUGCGAAAGCGUGGGGAGCAACAGG